UGCAUAUUUUUCUCAUUAUUUAUACUCAUCAAUAUCACAAAUUUCUCUGAAUCAAGAGUUGAAGAGUAAAAGAGAAACCAUGAAUAAGUUUCAUAUAUUUGUCAUCUUCGUGCUUCUUCUUAUUAUCACAGUCCAAAUUGAAGGGCGAGGAAAAAUCUGCCAGCUGCCGAUUGCGUUCGAUAUACCGAACUGCACUACCGAUUUAUGCUAUCAAUUGUGUAGACAAGUGUAUGGUGUUGCAGCAGAUAUGGGAUUUUGUGGAAAAGGUUGUGUUUGCUUUAAAUACUGCAGAUAAAUUUGAGGCUGAUUCUAAAAGUUCUCGGCUUUGCAUUACAAUGUUAUAGCCAGUAUAAAUAAUAAUAAAAUUUAAAUUUUUCA